ensembl:lncRNA uncharacterized LOC104151539
GGAGCUCUCAUUUGCGAGGAGCCGUGCCGUGCCCCUGGGCCUGCCAGCGGCAGGUUGCUGUGCAGCCUCGCUGGUUUUGGAGAGCAUCACAGGGAAGGAGCGAUUCAGCUGGUUGUGUGGCCAUUCUGGGUCUGAGCCGGCUUGGCUGAACAACCUCUCCUGUAAACGUGUUGCUGUGGGCUCAGCGCUGUGCUGUGGCCCUGCGGGCUCACGUACAAGGUGUAGCGCAGACCCCUAUGGCACAGCACAAGACCAGAGAACAGUGAGGACGCUGGGGUGCCUGCCCAGCCCCUCCACGGCGGCCGCUCCCUGCGUCCUGCCAUGGCUGACUGUGGAGCGCAGCCUGGCUGGCUGGGCCUGAGGGCAGCAUUUGGCACAGUCGUAGCACUGGCAUGAGCCAGGAUGAACAUCCAGCGUAUGUGUCCUCUCCCCUGAAGGUGCUUGGAGCCUUGCUCUGCAGAGGGGCUCCUGGCCUCUUGCGCAGCUGGAGCACAAAUGCCCCAGGUGGAAGAACAGGCGCUCCCUGCUCAGCAGGAGCAGCUGCGCUAGCAGUCUUGCCCUGGGUGAGCUGCUGCUGGCACGAGAGCUAGUGCUGGAGAAGUGCGCUUGGCUGCGUUGCAGGAGAGAUGACUGCACUGGAGAAGCUGCCAGGUCAGGUGCAUCUGGACAUGCCCCAAGGGGCCCAGCCCUGCUUCCUGGAGGCGGCUGUAACUUGUAGUUUGCAGCUCCCCUCGGGAGAUGGACACCCAGUGCCGCUGGUGCGGACGUUUCAACCCUGGGACACAUGGAUGUGCUGACCAGCAGUGUGUUGCGCAGCUCGGGGAUCUGAGAGUCCUGGGGUAGGCGGCUCCCGGGCUCCCUCUGUGCUUGUUAAACUGCCUCCUGCUGCAGCUGUGGCUGAAACAGCCUAAUUGUCGCUCCCCAGACUCCAGGUCCUACCAGGGUGAGGUCGCCGGUGGCUGAAGAUGGCAGGCUGUGGACGCCUCAUCCUCCCCAUUCGAGGCCUGCUGCUCUACGCCUUGGCUCUGCGCUUCUGCACCCAGCACCCUCUUGUCAUAGCAGAGUCCGGUGAUACCUCCAACUCCUCUGUGGCCUCCAACUCCUCUGUGGCCCCUGACUCCUGGAUGAAUGAGACGGAACAAACACUGCUCACCUGCCAGAGCUUUCACUGCUCCGGGGAGAGGUGUUACCAGGACGAAGCCUACGCCAAUGAAACGAUGACCUGCCGCAACGACUCUUACUGUGAGCUCUACCGUUUCUCCAGCACAAACUACACAGCCGGGUGCAGCAAUGAGUGCAGCGCAGAGAAUUGCAGGACCAACAGCAGCGUGAGCAUGCAGCAGUGUGCCUUGGACUGCUGCGACUCACCCCUCUGCCUUCAGCUCAAUGCCAGCUCCUACGGUGACCUGCCACCCACCACUACGCCAGCUAUGACAACCACCACCACCACCACCACUGCUCGAGCCCCCGCCCGAAAUGGGAAACUGUGUGCAACGUUCUCCUGUCACGGGGACGGAUGUUUCAAAGGCAAGAAGACUGUUGCUGGAUGCACUGUUGGGCAUGACUUCUGUGAGAUGAAGAAGAUGGGUUUGGAUUAUGUGGCGGGAUGUAGCAAAGCCUGCAAAGCGGCCAAACCAGUCUGUGCCAGUGGAACGAAGGCAGCUUGUUACCAGGAGUGCUGCCCAGCUACCCCAAAAGCUAGCUGUCUGAAACUGGAUGGCAAAGUUCACGUCAAUGGUGCUGAGCAGGUGACUCUGGCCCCGCUCUUGAGGCUCAUGGCAUGUGGGAUGGUCUUUCUCCUGAAUUACAGGGUCUCUGCUUCCCUCUGGGAGUAAGCAGCAGUCCCGGUGCUCCACAGCCUGCCCUUGAGCUCAGCAGUACUUGUUAGGAUUCCUGUAGCUCUCUGACUUCAGCCAAGGUUGCUAUCAAAUGCCCUCUUUUAGAUCAGCGUCCCAGGAAGAAGGUGACGCAGAGCCACAGGUGGUCUCUCCUCCCCCUGUGCAGUGCGUCAAUGCCGUGGGGCCUCCCCAGGCCUCUGUGAAAACACCGAUGCGGUGGCUGCAGUUUGCUGGCUGGCUCCAGUCUGUACUCAUGUUGUCCUGUGCAGCGCAGGGAAAGGCAGAACCGGGGAACUCACCGCCCUGGAGAGUACCUGAUGGGAUGAAUUUCAGAGCACACAGCAAAUUAAGGUUUCUCUUGCACUCUGCUUCCAGAAGAGGCUUCAGGCACAUGCUCAGACUGUUUGUGUGUAGGGACUCCUCCUGCUUUUGAGCUGCUCAGUGACUGGUAGGUCCUGACCAUGGGAGGAUGUGGGGCUCCAGGACAGCGUGGAGAGCCAGUGCUCUGCUUCAUACCUCUAGGGGAUUGCAAAAACGACACUGGCUGCCUGCCUAAGCUCCUGCAGAGUGGGGGAGAACCGAGCAGCUGUCCUGUGGGAUGAUCCCCUCUGCGGGAUGACUGUCUCUUUCCACUGUUAAAGAGGCCUUUUCACUCUGCUCAGUCCCAGUUCAAGCCUCCUCUGGGUUACAGGAGGAGAGGACAAAUUUCAGGUGCCCUGGGGCCUUGUGACUAACUGCCUCACUCAUGCUUCUUUGUCAGCAGCAUUUGCACACAAGCCAAUACUGUGCACAAGAGACAUUGAAGGACGUGCUGGAAGCCAGGUCUCUUCCUGUGCCCCUGUGCCUGUGUGGGAAUGUAGGCAGAAAAGACCUGUUAUUAGCAAGCUUAAGCAGAAGUAGUUUUCCCCUUGUCUUUCAAUAGUAGCUGAUGCAGCUGCCCUAAGGGCUGAGGCCCUGCAUGGUGCAAGUGACAGGAUAUAGGUUACUGGCUGGCCUGAACUGUUGCUGAAGCUAUUCCUGAAGCACACGCUAGGAAAUCCUCUUUCCCCUGGGUUUGUUCACGCAGCACGGUAACAUACCUCUGCCACCCUCGCACAGCUAGCAAGGGCCACCACUGCUGCUUCUCUGGCUGGCCCUUGGUGAGAGAACUGAGGUGAGCUCUCCUCUGCGGUGGGGACAGGCUGAGAGCUGCUGGCUCAGCCGGUCUACUUGUCAACUUUGAGUUCAGUACACUUGGCUCAGUAGUUGCCCUGCACAGGACUCUGAUGCUGAUCCCAAAUCCCUCCUACCGUCCCUGAGCCCCGCUCAAACUCCCGCACCUUCCUGGGACUGGAGUCCUGGCUCCUGUUUGGUAUUUUACGUUUCUGUGAACUUUAAACGCUCCUAAUUGAGAUUCUCCGAGUGCGCUCAGAGGAAAGGCACUUAAUCUAUGCAUUAAGGAAGCUACAACAAGGCAUUCUUCCCUGCCAGAAACCUGUAGGCCUCUGUGACUUGCAAGUUAAUUACAGCUUCCGAGAGCUGCUGCAACGUGCCUGCGCUGCUGGGACUGCAGAUGCUGGCAUGACUGACCUCAGGUGUAGGAACAAGGGGAUGUUAAGCCUGUUUAAAAACCUGAAAAAUCUGCCUUGACUGAAGACAGAGGGUUUGCUCUAGUUAAUAAUCGGCUUGCAGUGCAGCCUUCUGGGCAUCCACUUACCAAUUAGUUUAAAACUGCUCUGGUAUUAAAAUACCUCCUGUCUGGACAGGUAAAAUUAAUAACACCAUGUUUCCUCUCCAAAUCUUAGAGAGGAAAAUGGGAUUUCUCUGAAGUGUCACAUGUUUUAGAUGAUCCUGUUUCAUAUCUAUAAUUCUCUACUCCUAAAGGUAGACCAGGGACAUGGGAAUUAGCUUGUAACUGUAAACAAACCAACCCCCUGCCCCCAGCCCACUCCAGUCUGCCUGUUAUUGCAUCGCAUGCAGCUGGUAUGUCGCUUGUGACGCACGACAUUACCAGGCCGAAUUUACCGAUCGUGCACACGCGCACUCUGCUGUCCUCUGCCGCUAUUUUCUCUUCCAAAGAAAAGAUUGUGAAAAAAUCGAAGUAUAAAUAAAAUGUUUCAGACCUGCUGGCCA